GACGAACGCUGGCGGCGUGCUUAACACAUGCAAGUCGAACGGUGAAGCACCUUCCUUUUGGUGGGUGUGGAUGAGUGGCGCACGGGUGAGUAACACGUGAGUAACCUGCCCCCUUCUUCUGGAUAACCGCAUGAAAGUGUGGCUAAUACGGGAUAUUCUGUGCCUGCUGCAUGGUGGGGGUGGGAAAGAUGCGCUUUUGGGUGUUUUUGGUGGGGGAUGUGCUCGCGGCCUAUAAGCUUGUGGGUGGGGUGAUGGCCUACCAAGGCGGUGACGGGUAGCCGGGAGGAGAGGGGGCACGGUCACACGGGGACCGCGGCACAGACUACAAGGGUACGGGGGAGAGCAGUAGGGUAGACAGCAGAAGGGAGGCAAGCCCGAUGAAGCGACGCCGGGUGAGGGAGGGAGGCGUUCGGGUUGUCAUCCUGUUUGGACAGUGAAGCAGGCCUGUAACUUGUGGGUGGGUUGACGGUAGCUGGAGAAGAAGCGCCGGCUAACUACGUG
rnacentral:rRNA from 1 species